AUGUGUCCGUUUGCAGAGUUGGGAUUUAUAGUCCAUGGUGUAACAUUAAAAAGCAAAGGUCAUCCUUUGUAUAUAGAAAUAACUGUCCGAGACCUUAGCAGGCCCCAGCUGAUCCAGCAGGUGAGGAAACAGAGACAAGCUUUUCUAACGCCAGCCAAUGAACUACAGCCAACACCAGCGAGCGGACUGCAGGCCGUGGGCUCAAACGCAGGCUCAAGAAGGCGGGGGAUUUCCAGGGUCAAGAGCAAACCUCUGAGGCUAAGGCAGCCAAAGGGUGAAGUCCUGAAGCCCAGACUGCAGGUGAGGAAUGAACUAAGAACUGAGAGAUGCCUUCCCUGCCAGGAUCAGAAGAGGCAGCCCACUGGGCCUCCCCUUUGUCUGAUGUGACCCCGUUCCUGUUGACAAGUCUCGCCAAGUCAAGGUUUUCCUGGAUCCCUUCAGGUCUGCUCAGAGAUUCUAUGCUUACGGACUCCUUUUUCCACGCAAGCAUGCCCAAGAAAGAGUAUCAUGUUCUGUAACCAUAUUAUUUUUGGUCACAAUAUUGACAAGUCUUCCUGCUUUUUUUCUGUGGGUUUGUCCGGGAACUUGAAAAGUGCUCCACUGCAAAGCUUUCUCUCCAAAACCUCUAGUCUUCGGUUCCUAGGUCUCCCCUGUCUUGCUGAUAUCUGGCUCCCCCCACCCUCACGGCCUACCACCAGUGGCCUUCGCUAGCAGGCUCGGCCUCACCCAGUUGGGAGCCAGUCCAAACUAAAGCAGGAGGGAGAUGCUGAGCCACAGGGAGAUGAAUCUAGAACUUCCUGCCUACCCCAGGAAGGCCGGAACCUCCUCCCACCUACCGGGUCAUAACCUGCUACCAAUCCUUGCCACACACCUGGGUUCCCCUAACAGCACUGAGGUUCUGAUAUCUGGUCUGCUCAUUAAUGGGUGAAUGGAGUAGACCCUGUAUCCCCAGUCAGGGCUUGGGGGCUUUUUAAUUGGACACGUCCUCUAGAGUCCACAAGUGCCACCCGCUGCUACGGCUGCCUGAUAAUCAUGCUCAUCCUCCAUGCAGCCUGUGGACAGACAGCCGCACCUGCUGUACCACACCAAGCACCCUACACUUCAGAAGCUCUCAAACUCCAGGGGCACAAGAAUACCUGGGAGAUGGUUAAAAAUUAAAAGUUCUAUGCCCACCAAUGGAGAUUCUGAUCCAGGUGCUUGACCAUCCACUCAUCACCUGUCUUAGGCGAUACUAAUGGAAAAGCUCUGUGAGCGCCAUCUUGUAUAUGACUGCUAUGGGCGAACCCCUAGCCCAAGACCCACAUACCUCUGGAUGCCUCCCUGCUGUGUGCCCCGCUGACCCCACUUCUUCAUAUCCCAGCCUGCUUUGUGGCCAUGUCCACUCAUCAUCUAUAACCUUUUAAAAUUUGUUAUAUUGCAUGUAAAGCACCCUGCCAUUAUGGGACAUGUGGUCCCCUCCAUCCAACAAGACUGUAAAGGGCACCCUGACUUCCCAGCCCAACGUACAGGCUCCUACCUCCCUUGGACAUUUAAUAAAUUCUGUAUCUGGCAGUGACA
ensembl:lncRNA